AUUGAACGCUGGCGGCAGGCUUAACACAUGCAAGUCGAGCGAGCGGCGGACGGGUGAGUAAUGUCUGGGAAACUGCCUGAUGGAGGGGGAUAACUACUGGAAACGGUAGCUAAUACCGCAUACCAUCAGAUGUGCCCAGAUGGGAUUAGCUAGUAGGUGGGGUAAUGGCUCACCUAGGCGACGAUCCCUAGCUGGUCUGAGGGGAUGACCGGCCACGCGGGAGCUGAGACACGGGCCAGACGACUGCGAGAGGCAGAAGUGGGGAAGAUGGCACAAUGGGCGCGAACCAGAUGCAGCGAAGCCGCGUGUGUGAGAAGGGACAUCGGGUUGUAAAGCAUUUUCAGCGGGGAGGCGUGACUCGCAGAAGAAGCACCGGCUAACUCCGUGCCAGCAGCCGCGGUAAUAC
rnacentral:rRNA from 1 species